AAUCAACGCUGGCGGCGUGCCUAACACAUGCAAGUCGAACGCGAAAGCCCCGCAAGGGGUAAGUAGAGUGGCAAACGGGUGAGUAACACGUGGGUGACCUGCCUUCGAGUGGGGGAUAACGUCCCGAAGGGGCGGCAAAUACCACCUGACAUCCUGCUUUUUAAAAAGCGAAGUUCAAGACUGGGGAUCGCAAAACCUAGCCCUUUGAGCGGGCCCCGCGCCGGAUAAGUUAGUUGGUGAGGUAACGGCUAACCAAGGCGACGAUGAGUAGCCGACCGGGGAGGGUGGUGGGCCAGACUGGGACUGAGACGCGGCCCAGACUCCUACGGGAGGCAGCAGUAGGGAGUGGGCGGCAAUGGACGGAAGGCUGACCGAGCAACGCCGGGGGGGUGAAGAAGGGUUGCGGAUCGGAAAGGGCGGUUGGAAGAGAAGAACGAGUGUGAGAGUGGAAAGUUCACACUGUGACGGUAUCUUAACAGAAAGGGACGGCUAACUACGUG
rnacentral:rRNA from 1 species